UGAGCGGAGAAGAAGGCGGGACGUCCAGCGACAGGUGCGGGAUGGGAUGCGCAACUGUUUGGACAGCAGCUCAGUUCAAGUCCCGUACGUGAGGUCGUGGGUGGCCAAAGGACACAGAACCGCCACUGACACACGCAGUAAAACCCGAAACAGAGAGGGGGAGGAGAAUCCGGACAUGCUCGUGGUGUGGAGUGUUUUGGACAACUAAAUAUGACUCACCAGCUUUGCUUAAAAAGACCAAGGGUCUCCUCCUCACUGUGUUGCUGGCUCCUGCAGGAGGAACUACUCAGUCGGGCGG